rnacentral:rRNA from 1 species
AACCGGGGGAACUGAAACAUCUAAGUACCCCGAGGAAAAGAAAUCAACCGAGAUUCCCCCAGUAGCGGCGAGCGAACGGGGAGCAGCCCAGAGCCUGAAUCAGUGUGUGUGUUAGUGGAAGCGUCUGGAAAGGCGUGCGAUACAGGGUGACAGCCCCGUACACAAAAAUGCACAUAUUGUGAGCUCGAUGAGUAGGGCGGGACACGUGGUAUCCUGUCUGAAUAUGGGGGGACCAUCCUCCAAGGCUAAAUACUCCUGACUGACCGAUAGUGAACCAGUACCGUGAGGGAAAGGCGAAAAGAACCCCGGCGAGGGGAGUGAAAAAGAACCUGAAACCGUGUACGUACAAGCAGUGGGAGCACGCUUAGGCGUGUGACUGCGUACCUUUUGUAUAAUGGGUCAGCGACUUAUAUUCUGUAGCAAGGUUAACCGAAUAGGGGAGCCGAAGGGAAACCGAGUCUUAACUGGGCGUUAAGUUGCAGGGUAUAGACCCGAAACCCGGUGAUCUAGCCAUGGGCAGGUUGAAGGUUGGGUAACACUAACUGGAGGACCGAACCGACUAAUGUUGAAAAAUUAGCGGAUGACUUGUGGCUGGGGGUGAAAGGCCAAUCAAACCGGGAGAUAGCUGGUUCUCCCCGAAAGCUAUUUAG